GACGAACGCUGGCGGCGUGCUUAACACAUGCAAGUCGAACGGAAAGGCCUCUUUCGGGGGGUACUCGAGUGGCGAACGGGUGAGUAACACGUGAGUAACCUGCCCUUGACUUUGGGAUAACUUCAGGAAACUGGGGCUAAUACCGGAUAGGAGCUCCUGCUGCAUGGUGGGGGUUGGAAGGUUUCGGCGGUUGGGGAUGGACUCGCGGCUUAUCAGCUUGUUGGUGGGGUAGUGGCUUACCAAGGCUUUGACGGGUAGCCGGCCUGAGAGGGUGACCGGCCACAUUGGGACUGAGAGACGGCCCAGACUCCUACGGGAGGCAGCAGUGGGGAAUAUUGCACAAUGGGUGGAAGCCUGAUGCAGCAACGCCGUGUGCGGGAUGACGGCCUUCGGGUUGUAAACCGCUUUCGCUCAUGACGAAGCUUUGUGUGACGGUAGUGGGUAAAGAAGCACCGGCUAACUACGUG
rnacentral:rRNA from 1 species